rnacentral:lncRNA from 1 species
AAAAGCCUGAGGAGUCUGUUGUUGUACAAGCGGCUUACUCAUCAGCUAACAGUUCACCAUCGGCUAAGUCAGCUAGGUCAUCGUUUUCCUCUCGUUUUGAUUACGCGGACGGUGUUCAAACAAGAGAGCAAUACAUGAGCAAUGGACCUCAAGUGUUUGGUCAUGUAGCUCCACCGAAAUCAACAGGCUUCUUUGAGGAGUUUGAGAUGAACGGAGGAGGCGGGUUUCAGAAGAAACCAAUCACAAGUUCCUCAAGAGUACAACACUCCUUCUUCCCUCUUUUUUUUUAAUAAAAUAAAUUUUAUAAAAACAACCCUAAACGGGAAUAACAGUUUCGAUUACAAACCGACUCGAACAAAAUUACUCAGUUUAAAAAAAGAGGAAAAUUCUUCCCUCUUAUGUCAUUAGUCUUAGUUAAACCGUUUGUACUUACCUUCUCUAGCAUUUAUACCACAGAUUCAAGAGACAGAUGAAGCGCGGAAGAAGUUUUCAAACGCGAAAUCAAUCUCCUCCGCUCAGUACUUCGGUAAUGAGAAUAAUUCCAUGGACCUUGAGGCCAAGAGUUCAUUAAAGAAGUUCCAUGUACGUCUCCUCAUUUGCCUUAGAUAAACACUCAUCAGUACUAGUUGUAACAAUCUCAUUUUAAAAACAGGGUUCAACAGCAAUCUCUAGUGCUGAGCUGUUUGGAGAUGAUGAUGGAGAUUUUCCUCUGGAUCUCUCCGCUGGUGAUCUUAUCAACCGCCUCUCUCUCCAGGUCUAGCCUCACUUCUCUAUCCUUUUAAGUUCAGGCUUAUUUUGUAGGUAUCAAGUAAUGAAACCAUAUUGUUUUAUAUUGUGUCAGGCUCAGCAAGACAUGUCGUCGUUGAAAAACAUGGCAGAGGAGACAAAGAAGAAGCUCAGCUCUGUUGCUUCCAGCUUAUGGGUCUGAAAGGUUUAUGUUUUAAUUAUCUUAAGACCCAAUCCAGUGCACAUUCAUUUUCUUUUUCUUAUACCCUUUACCAUUUCCAAGUCAUUUGAUUCUAUUCUUGUACUAGGGGGAAAUUAUAACGUAAACUAUGUUUUGUUUGAUGAUGGAGAUUUUCCUCUGGAUCUCUCCGCUGGUGAUCUUAUCAACCGCCUCUCUCUCCAGGUCUAGCCUCACUUCUCUAUCCUUUUAAGUUCAGGCUUAUUUUGUAGGUAUCAAGUAAUGAAACCAUAUUGUUUUAUAUUGUGUCAGGCUCAGCAAGACAUGUCGUCGUUGAAAAACAUGGCAGAGGAGACAAAGAAGAAGCUCAGCUCUGUUGCUUCCAGCUUAUGGGUCUGAAAGGUUUAUGUUUUAAUUAUCUUAAGACCCAAUCCAGUGCACAUUCAUUUUCUUUUUCUUAUACCCUUUACCAUUUCCAAGUCAUUUGAUUCUAUUCUUGUACUAGGGGGAAAUUAUAACGUAAACUAUGUUUUGUUUUGUUUUGUUUUAUUGAAAAUAUCAAUAUUUUGUACAAAUGAGAUUAUGUUUUUGUAAAAUUGUCAUUAAAUAAAAAUAUGUGGUGUACAUGAACAAAAGUCUUAUGAGAUUGAUGAAACUAAACGUGUUUGACGUUUUUUCUUGGAUGUAUUAUACUUUAUUCGGAAAUGAUUCUUUAUUACUCAUGUCCAGCACUAAUUAUAAGCUCCAACUAACAUGUCCUUGACCUCUUACAAGGAGUUUAUGUCAGCCUUGCCACGCACUAGAAUCUUUACCACGGCUCAAGUCACUUUUAAGCUUAAGUACUGACCAUCAGUAAAAGUUGUAAAACUUGUUGAAAAUGAAGAAACCAUGAUGUACAAACUCAAUAUGUUAGAUUACUCUUAACUAGUAGACCAUAUAUUUUGCUAAAUUCUAAGAAAAGUAUGAACGUUACGUCACUAAGUGAACAAGAAGAUUUUCAACGUGAACGAAUGUAGAGCCAUGAAGAUAUUUCGAAAUAAGAUAAGAUAUGAAACAUUUAACAUUACGUUGUUUAAGAAGGAAUAACUCACAACAGCAAUAAAAAAUUCUUGUUAGCUUUUCAAAGGAAAAGAGGAACAAAUCUCUAACAUAAAAUGAGAAAUCAUGAGCGAUAAUACAUUUAAAUGUUUUCAACAAUUAAAUUUUUAAUAACAAACAAACAAAACAUGCUAAUGUGUCUCUUGCAUAUUGAUAGUAGGGAUCUUUUUGUUAAAGAAAUAGAAAUCUAGGGUUAAACUUUAAGCUGUAAGAUAAAAAUAGAAUCACCAACAAAACUUCUUUUUGUCCAUUUUUUUUUUGUUGGGAAAAUUGUAGUCGAGCGAGACACUUUAUGAUCAAAAGCCUGAGGAGUCUGUUGUUGUACAAGCGGCUUACUCAUCAGCUAACAGUUCACCAUCGGCUAAGUCAGCUAGGUCAUCGUUUUCCUCUCGUUUUGAUUACGCGGACGGUGUUCAAACAAGAGAGCAAUACAUGAGCAAUGGACCUCAAGUGUUUGGUCAUGUAGCUCCACCGAAAUCAACAGGCUUCUUUGAGGAGUUUGAGAUGAACGGGUUUCAGAAGAAACCAAUCACAAGUUCCUCA